UACGUAGGGGGCGAGCGUUGUCCGGAAUCACUGGGCGUAAAGGGCGCGUAGGCGGUAAUAUAAGUCAGAUGUGAAAGGUGGGGGCUCAACCCCUAGAGUGCAACUGAUACUGUAUAACUUGAGUGUGAGAGAGGGAAGCGGAAUUCCUAGUGUAGCGGUGAAAUGCGUAGAUAUUAGGAGGAACACCAGUGGCGAAGGCGGCUUUCUGGCUCAUAACUGACGCUGAGGCGCGAAAGCGUGGGGAGCAAACAGG
rnacentral:rRNA from 1 species